UGGGGAAUAUUGGACAAUGGGCGCAAGCCUGAUCCAGCCAUGCCGCGUGGGUGAUGAAGGCCUUCGGGUUGUAAAGCCCUUUUGGCGGGGACGAUGAUGACGGUACCCGCAGAAUAAGCCCCGGCUAACUUCGUGCCAGCAGCCGCGGUAAGACGAAGGGGGCAAGCGUUGUUCGGAAUUACUGGGCGUAAAGGGCGCGUAGGCGGCCCGAUAAGUCAGCCGUGAAAGGCCUGGGCUCAACCUGGGAAUU
rnacentral:rRNA from 1 species